GACGUAGGGCGCGAGCGUUGUCCGGAUUUAUUGGGCGUAAAGAGCUCGUAGGCGGCUUGUCGCGUCGACUGUGAAAUCCCGCGGCUCAACCGCGGGUCUGCAGUCGAUACGGGCAGGCUAGAGUUCGGUAGGGGGAGACUGGAAUUCCUGGUGUAGCGGUGAAAUGCGCAGAUAUCAGGAGGAACACCGAUGGCGAAGGCAGGUCUCUGGGCCACUACUGACGUGAGAAGCGAAAGCAUGGGGGAGCGAACAGG
rnacentral:rRNA from 1 species